UAUCGACUGCCGCAAAAGCAUGCUCUGUUUUUAUGUCUUAUGAAUUUGUAGUUCGCAAAUUUCUGUGAAAAUAGACAAAAUGCUUUUUGAUCUUCGGCCAAUAGAGAGAGCAGAGUACAGUAUAUUGAAAGUCUGUUGGUCGAAUAGCAGAUUAUUUUAACCACUUCCUGUCUAGGCUUGAUAAACCAGUCUACUUGUUACCUGAAGGGCGUGGUUAUAUGGGGGCCAGUGAAUCUGCCGUUUACUCACAUUGUUCGUAACAGUGCUCACCUGCUCUCACUUUGUCUCUUUCCCAUUGCUCUCACACACAAAAACACAUCCCAGAGAGGAGAAACUACCAAGAGAGAAGAAUCAUGUCUGUGGAAGUCCACAUAGAAUAUUGUAGUGGAUGAGGGUACGAGUCUCGCUAUCAGGACCUAGCAUCUGCCAUCAAGCGGAACGUUCCUGAUGUGACGGUGACGGGAACCACAGGGCGGCGCUCCAGUUUCGAGGUAACAGUGAAUGGUAAAUUGGCCUACUCUAAACUGGAGGCAGGAGGAUUCCCAGACACCAAGGAGAUGGUGGCGAUGGUGAAGGAGGUGAGCCGUGGAGGAAAGGUCGAGAAAGUGAAGAAGAAGAAUAAUAAGUGUUUUCUCCAAUAGAUGAGUGGUUAUUGAGAGAAGGAGAGUGUUUUUUUAAGAUCCUGGGUCCUGAUCUGAUUCUAUUAAUGAUUGUUCACAAUGAAACUAGGGAUGUGAACAUGAAGUCUACAGUCAUUUCAACUCUGUGAUCUGAGGGAAAUACUCUCAUCCUGUGUCUCCGUGUUAUACUGUCAUGUCUUAUGUUAUUCCUUGCCUGUUUUUAUUUCCUUAUACAGACCAAGAUAUUAUAGACUGACUGGCAUUUAGUUUUACAUUCUAAAAAUAUUGUACUCAAUGUAGACUAGACCUCUGCAGUUGAAUAGGCUGUACGUGUAUUUUUAAAUGAUCAAAUAAAUUCUAGGAAUCAAUUAGUAUUGAGUUUGUGUGUUGGGAGGGUGCUGUUGGACAUUUACAAUAAUGCUGUUGGACAUUUACAAUAAUGCUGUUGGACAUUUACAAUAAUGCUGUUGGACAUUUACAAUAAUGCUGUUGGACAUUUACAAUAAUGCUGUUGGACAUUUCCUGGUGUUGUUGGACAUUUCCUGGUGUUGUUGUGUUAUUAUUGGAUGUUGUGCCAGGCAAUCUUUCCUAUCUUCACUUUGCCUCUUUCACUUUCUUUCUUAGCGGGUGUGAUGAUGCAAUAGAUAUACUGCCACGGCCUUUAUAGCGGUCAAGGGAUUUUAUUUGAUCUUAUCUGAUUUUGUGUGUAGGCCGAGACUGGAUUCUAUCCCCAAAAAUGUUAUUCCUCUGUGUGUUAUAUAAUUGUAGAGGUACAAAGUCUUUAGUAUUAGUUUUUAUAUGGCUGUAUAAAGAUGACAGUUUAUUAUCAAACUUGUGAUAGAGAUCACACUUCAGCCAAGAGGGGAAUUUAAUGCAGUUGAGAUGUGGGAAAGGGAAUUACCACUCUGCCAUCUGGAGUUUUACUACAUUUUUACCAAAACUGGAUUCCAUGUAACUUAGAGGUGAUUGAUUAUUCAUUAUAUCCACUCUAUUAGCCUCUGUCAAAUGCAUUUUAAACUGUAAUACAUCUGUUCUGUGAUGUCCUCCAGCAUAUUGGAGAAUAUUCUAGAAUCUGACCCUUUCUACCCCUCUAUCUCUCUGGCCCCCAUCUAACCAUGUCCUUCAGGUAACAGGUGGAUAGAGGGAGAGUCACGCAGCUUAUCUGUGACAGUGCCCACCUGCUCUCACAUCUCUUUCGCAUUGUUCUCUCUCUCUCUCACACACACACACACACACACACACACACACACACACACACACACACACACACACACACACACACACACACACACACACACACAAAGAGAAGAAUCAUGUCUGUGGAAGUCCACAUAGAAUGUUGGGUGGUUAUUGUUUAACGUUGUACUACAUCUGUUAAUGUCUACUCUACAAUGUUAGGAGAUCUGUUAAUGUCUACUCUACAAUGUUAGGAGAUCUGUUAAUGUCUACUCUACAAUGUUAGGAGAUCUGUUAAUGUCUACUCUACAAUGUUAGGGGAUCUGUUAAUGUCUACUCUACAAUGUUAGGAGAUCUGUUAAUGUCUACUCUACAAUGUUAGGAGAUCUGUUAAUGUCUACUCUACAAUGUUAGGGGAUCUGUUAAUGUCUACUCUACAAUGUUAGGAGAUCUGUUAAUGUCUACUCUACAAUGUUAGGAGAUCUGUUAAUGUCUACUCUACAAUGUUAGGAGAUCUGUUAAUGUCUACUCUACAAUGUUAGGAGAUCUGUUAAUGUCUACUCUACAAUGUUAGGAGAUCUGUUAAUGUCUACUCUACAAUGUUAGGAGAUCUGUUAAUGUCUACUCUACAAUGUUAGGGGAUCUGUUGUUAUACUAAAGAAAACAGUGAGACAGUGAACAAACUGUCUGAAUGUGUUGGUGUGGAACCAAUAGACUUCCUAUUGGCUCAGGUUAUUGAUUUAAAGAGAGAGUUUGCAGACAAAAGCAAAACAUUGACAUGAUUUUCCAAUUAGAGAAACUCAUUAUUUACAUCAUCAGUCUAACAUUUACCAACAUUAACUACCCUCUCCAUUUCUAUUGUCAAGUUAUAGAUUUGACAUGCCAUGUGCAGCCUGUGUGUGUGUUUACGGUGUGUUAUGCUAAUGCAAACAUCAAAACGAGCUCCCAGGGGGGGCCUAGGACCGAGUUCGGGAAACCCUGCUCCAGUAGAUGAGUGGAGAGCAAGAGGUGGAAAGGAGAGAGGGGGAGGACAGUGUUUUAUAAGAUCCUGAGUACUGACCUGAUUCUAUUAAUGAUUGUUCACAUUGAAACUAGGGAUGUGAACAUGGAGACUAGUUAGUUAAAUAAAGCAAGGCACGUCAGUUAAGAACCAAUUCUUAUUGACAAUGACGGCUAAACCUGGACGAUGCUGGACCAAUUGUGCGCCGCCCUAUGGGACUCCCAAUCACGGCCGGCUGUGAUACAGCCUGGAAUCUUCCAGGGUCUGUAGUGACGCCUCUUGCACUGAGAUGCGGUGUCUUAGACCGCUGCGACACCAGGGAGCCCCUAGAGUAAUUUCAACGGUCUGUGAUUUAAGGAAAAUACUCUCAUCCUGUCUGGUUUAUACUGUUAUGUUAUGUUGUUAUUCCUAUGUUUUUAUUUCAUGAUACAGACAGGGAUAUUAUUUAGACUAGCAUUUAGAUUUAUAUUCUAGAAGUUAUAUUCUACUCAAUAUAGAUCUCUGCAGUUGUACUUGUAUUUUUAAAUGAUCAAAUAAAUGAAAUCAAUCCGU